rnacentral:rRNA from 1 species
UCGGGAAUCUUGGGCAAUGGGGGAAACCCUGACCCAGCGACGCCGCGUGGAGGAUGAAGGCCUUCGGGUUGUAAACUCCUGUCUUCGAGGACGCGGUACUCGGAGAGGAAGCCCGGCUAACUACGUGCCAGCAGCCGCGGUAAGACGUAGGGGGCGAGCGUUGUCCGGAAUUACUGGGCGUAAAGGGCAAGUAGGCGGCUUGUCAAGUCGGAUGUGAAAGGCGCGGGCUCAACCCGCGGACGCCAUUCGAAACUGUCAAGCUUGAGGGCAGAAGAGGAGAGCGGAAUUCCCGGUGUAGCGGUGAAAUGCGUAGAUACCGGGAGGAACACCAGUGGCGAAGGCGGCUCUCUGGUCUGUGCCUGACGCUCAAUUGCGAAAGCCAGGGGAGCGAACGGGAUUAGAUACCCUAGUAGU